UUUCUUUCCUUUGUCUUUCAGAGAGAGAGAGGUUCUGUCAAGCUGGCCGGAUCUGUUACUGGAGCUUGACUCCCGACGUUCGGGCUAUGCCUCUGGCAAGCGGUGGCUCCCAAAGCACUGUCUUGGCCGGCUUCUGACUCCGACAAGUAGGUGGUUCACAUAACACAAUCUUGUCCGGCUUUAAUAUGAGAUUCAUCUCCAUCUCUGAUGGAUUUCAGCUUUGUUUUAUCUGUUUUUUUUAUAAAUAUCUUUUUUGUUUUCUUUAUCCGCUUCUUUGAUCUUCUAUCGAUUUGAAAUUGCUGAGAAUAUUUUCGGAUUGUUGAGAAAUUUUCCUGUUUUAACGGAUGGUUCCAUCUUCAAGCUUAUUUUUAUCAUUAAAGAUGGCUGUUUAAAAAAAAAAAAAGUUCGAUUUUCAACUUUCCUCGGGUUAUCAGAUCUUGGUAUGUUCCAAUCGUAUGUCUCUGAAGCGUUGUUACGGUUAUGGCUACUGAUCUCGAGCUUUCAUGUUGGCUGGCUGUUCUAAUCUUGUGUCUCCUGUUCCGGUCUGUUCCGGUGGAGUUCCGGUUAGUUUUCCGGCUACGAUUUCGAAAUCGGUGAAGAUAGAGAUGGCUCUGCUCUUCCGACACGCGUCCAUCUUCCGCUUGCGUUUGACGCGUCUCCAUGAGCUGUCGUGAUUGAGCCUCUUUCUUCCAUUGGGCUUUAUGUUACUGGGCCUUGUGGAUGGCUCUAUAUGACUUGUAUGUUUGCCCCUGUUCUUUGGACUUUCUUUUUAAGUUUGUUGUACUAUGUUGGCCUUUGGCCUUUAAUAAAACGAGAUGAUAAAAAAAAAAGCAUGUUACUAGAGCAGGUUCGGUCCAAAAAAAAAGCAUGUUACUAGAGCUGAACACUCCAAUACUUUUUGCGAAUCUAUUAAAACAUGUAGAGUUAUUUUACAGUAUGGACGAACCAAUUUUGAUUUCUUUAGCCGAUCUCGGAUGCCACUAAAAUGAAAGAUGCUCUUUAGUAACACUAGACAUAAUUUUAUUAAAUAUAAUAUAUAAGAAAAAAUCCAUAACAUAAUAUUCAUUCAACAGUAGAAAAUAAAUAUUUUAUAUAUUUGAAUCUGGAGUUUAAAGAUUAGAAUUUAGAAUUUAGGAAAUAUAAUUAAGGUUUAGGGCUAUGGAUGUGAUAUUUUUUAAUAUUUUUAUUAAUUAAUAAAUACUAUUUUUAGAAAAUAUUUAAAUACUAUUUUUACGACAAAACUAAAAAAAAAUACUAUUUAUGAGAAUCUAUCCUACCAAAAUUGGUUUUGGAAAGCUUAUAUUAUCACCGGAUUAUAAAAUCCCCUGUAAAUGAAUCAUCGAGUAUUAUAACAUGUUUUCGUAGCCACGUGUCAUCAAGAAUAUGAUUUUUAGAACUCUUAGAAAAAUAAGUCAGUCUAUAUAAACUUAUACUAUGUUUUUUUAUUAAACUAACUAUCAAAUUAAUUAGUAAUGUACCAAAGAAUAUAUUUUUUUUCUUAAAUAAAAUCUACGAAAUUACCUAAUAUGGUUAACAUAUAUAUGAUAAUUAAUGAUUAUGAAUAAUACAUAUUUGAUAACAAUUUUUGUAUUCUUUUUCUCUUUGUUUAAUUUUAUAUUAUUAAAUCAAAUUAAACAAUCACAUUAAAAAUAUAAUAGAUUUUUUCUUAUAUGUUAUAUUUUGAAUUUUUAAAAACGACUAUAAAUCACUAAAAAUGGUAAAACUUCCACAUUGAAAAUUCUGUGAUCAGUGAUUUAACUUUUUUUUUGUUCAAACAAGAUACAAAUGAUCACUAAAUAAUUUAUUGUCACUUAAUUUUUUACUCCAUAUAAUUAUUUUACUAAAUAAUUUUUUUUUGUUUUACUUAAUUUAGCUAAAUAGAUAGAAAAAGUAAUAAAUAUAAAAUCACUUAGGCAAGAACAUUAGAUAUCCAUUUAGGUACGGAUUGUUUUUUUCGGGUAUCGUUUUUUUUUUUAAAUUAGGCUCUACUUGAAUAUUAUAAAUUCAUGUAUGGGUUUUGAGUUGGGUUCUUCUUGGUCUGGAUGAAUUUGGUUAUGAUAUAUAAGAACCUAAAAAUAUCUAAAUAAUUAACAAAUAUAUCUAAAAUAAAUUUGGAUAUUUGUACCAAAAAUAACCAUAUCACCCGAUUUAGUCAUGAUAUUUUGAAUACAAUUAGUUAUAUUACGACUCAUCUAAAUAAAUAUCAAUGUAUAAAAAUGUAAUAAGCACUCCAUGGAGCAGAUCAAUUUUUAGUGGGAAUUAAAAGCAUAUACAGGAAAAAAACAAACAUAAUGAAGUCUUCAUCUUUCUUUUACAUGGGAAACCUUCCAUUUCCGAAACAAAACAAGUUACGAUGUUAGAAUUUAUUGUGUUUCAUUGACGCUCUUUCUUUAUCGUUUUAUACCUAUAUAUCAUUAAAUGAAUUUUCAGAUUCACGAGAAACUGGGAAUCUCAACAGCCGGUCGCAUUACUUGUUAAUUCAGAGUUUAGUCUCUAUAAAUAGUCCCCUCGAUACUUCUUUUCUGUUAUAUCAUUCUAAAAAUUUAUUAACAGCAGGUUCAAGAAGUAAAAGAAGAUAGAAUGUGGUGGAUGAACGUUUUCAGGUUCAUUAGCCUUGCUGCUAAUGUUGUCUCAGCUGUUGUAGGCUUGAUUAUGAUCUUCAUCUAGUCUAUCAAAUCUUCAACUAUGUAGAACAAUAUUAUCUCUAGUAUUAAAGAGUUGUUGUUUGUUUUCUUUAAGAUAUCAAAGAGGUAGAUCCAUAUUGCCUCUAUUAUUUAAGUAAAAUCAGUAUCUUAUUUUGCAGUGUCUUUCUUUAAGUCUUUAUAUUUUUGCUAAUUGCGGUACAAUGGAAAAAACAAAACAAGCAAAUGCCCACUUCUGCUUCUCGCCUUCUUCCUCAAUUUACUUCUAUCACGUUCACAUCGCUCAUAUUGACACCAUGGCUGCUACAGAAGGACAACACGUCAUGGCUCUCAUCAGCAAACGUCUGCGUACCCACCGUAAGAAAUACAACCGAAUCACUGAGGUGGAAGAGUCUAUUUCUCAGGGUAAAACACUCAACAAGGAGCAAAAAGAAACCAUCCUCUCUAAGCCAAUCGUCACCGCCCUAAUCCAAGAGCUCGAAAAGCUCCUCAUCCUCCUUCCGCCGCCGUUUCAGAAGAGAUCAUUAGCCUCCCUGCUAAGAAAAACAAAAUGCAAAAGGCAUGUAAGGAGGUGGCGCCUGAGGAGAAAGACCUGACUUCCAAGACAGACAUGGAGGAUUGCAAGGUCUCCGAUGAGGUUUCGAAAGACGAUAUAUCUCCUUGUAGCGAAAGCUCUAAAGACGUUACACCAUCGCCACCUUCUACAAGUAGUGGAAAGGCACAACGUAAAAAGAAGUCUAAGAAACCUCAGACCACGAAUUGAUUGUGUCUCCAACUUCUGUCCGUAGCAGAAGUCUAUACAAAGACAAUAACUGGAGCUGCUUUG